rnacentral:rRNA from 1 species
AUGGAUACCGAAUGGGAGCUAAAAUUUCCUCUGGUAACCGUGCGAGCCCUAGAGCGUAUUGAGGCUUUAUCGGAUCAUGCACCCAUCAUUCUGGACUCUAAUUCUACGAAACCAGCUGCCCGACGCCCUUUCAAAUUUGAAUUGGGAUGGAUGCAUAGGGAGGGAUUUGUAGACAUGAUCAAGAAUAUUUGGGAGAGGCCCGCUGUUGGUCGUACACCUAUUCAGAGAUGGAACUUUAAAAUAAGGGCCAUGAGGCAACACCUCUCUGGAUGGGCAAAACAUACCAACGGGAUUUAUAAAAAAGAAAAACAACGGCUCUCAACCAUUAUUGAUGACCUCGACAAAAUUGCAGAGACACGCAUCUUAUCUCAACAAGAGAUUGAAUUAAAAAAUCAAUCUAAUGAGAAGAUUGCCCGUCUUCUGCGAGAAGAGGAGAUCAAAUACUACCAGAGAUCCAAAGCCGAUUUCAUUUUGAUGGGUGAUAGUAAUACAAGAUACUUCCAAUUGGUCGCUAAUGGGCGGCAUAGGAAGAAAUGUAUUUAUAGUCUCCAACAAGAUGAGGGGCGGAUCGAAGGUCAAGAGGAGCUCAAAAAGUAUAUCACCGACUACUACAAAUCUCUGUUCGGACCGCCGGCUGAAGGGAAUUUCACCCUUGAUGAGACCCGAACAGAUGACAUUCCACAAGUCACGACAGAAGAAAACAAUAUUCUGACGGCACCAUUCUCGGAAGAGGAGGUGAGAGCUGCAAUGUUCCAAAUGGAACAUAACAAAGCUCCAGGCCCAGAUGGUUUCCCCGCAGAAUUCUAUCAGAAUUUCUGGGAUAUCAUCAAGGCUGACCUUAUGGAGUUGUUCAAUUGUCUUCAUGCCGACCGACUUGAGCUAUUUAGGCUUAAUUUUGGCGAGAUUGUCUUGUUGCCAAAGAUUAAGGAGGCUGAACGGAUCCAGCAGUUUAGACCCAUAUGCCUCCUUAAUGUCAGUUUCAAGAUUUUCACCAAAGUGAACCUAAGUGGAGUAGUAUUCAAAAUUGACUUUGAAAAAGCCUAUGACAAGGUCAAAUGGUCUUUCCUCCAACAGGCCCUAAGGAUGAAAGGUUUCUCUGAAAAAUGGUGCCAUUGGAUCCAAAAUUUUGUAACUGGAGGUAGCGUGGCCAUCAAAGUCAAUGAUGAUGUAGGUCAUUACUUCCAGACAAAAAAAGGACUACGACAGGGUGACCCCAUGUCCCCAAUGUUAUUUAACAUUGUGGCUGACAUGUUGGCAAUUCUAAUUGAGCGCGCCAAGCAGGACGGGCAAAUUGCUGGGGUAGUGCCA